GGGGACCCGCGCAAGCGGUGGAUGAUGUGGAUUAAUUCGAUGCAACGCGAAAAACCUUACCUACCCUUGACAUGGCUGGAAUCCUUGAGAGAUCAGGGAGUGCUCGAAAGCGAACCAGUACACAGGUGCUGCAUGGCUGUCGUCAGCUCGUGUCGUGAGAUGUUGGGUUAAGUCCCGCAACGAGCGCAACCCUUGUCAUUAGUUGCUACGAAAGAGCACUCUAAUGAGACUGCCGGUGACAAACCGGAGGAAGGUGGGGAUGACGUCAAGUCCUCAUGGCCCUUAUAGGUAGGGCUACACACGUCAUACAAUGGAUGGUACAAAGGGUCGCCAACCCGCGAGGGGGAGCCAAUCCCAUAAAGCCAUUCGUAGUCCGGAUCGCAGUCUGCAACUCGACUGCGUGAAGUCGGAAUCGCUAGUAAUCGUGGAUCAGAAUGUCACGGUGAAUACGUUCCCGGGUCUUGUACACACCGCCCGUCACACCAUGGGAGCGGGUUUUACCAGAAGUAGGUAGCUUAACCGUGAGGAGGGCGCUUACCACGGUAGGAUUCGUGACUGGGGUGAAG
rnacentral:rRNA from 1 species